AUACGUAGGGGGCGAGCGUUGUCCGGAAUGAUUGGGCGUAAAGGGCGCGUAGGCGGCGCGGUAAGUCUGGAGUGAAAGUCCUGCUUUCAAGGUGGGAAUUGCUUUGGAUACUGCCGCGCUUGAGUGCAGGAGAGGUUAUCGGAAUUCCCGGUGUAGCGGUGAGAUGCGUAGAGAUCGGGAGGAACACCAGUGGCGAAGGCGGGUAACUGGACUGCAACUGACGCUGAGGCGCGAAAGUGUGGGGAGCAAACAGGAUUAGAUACCCUGGUAGUCCACACUGUAAACGAUGAAUGCUAGGUGUAAGAGGUAUCGACCCCUUUUGUGCCGGAGUCAACACAAUAAGCAUUCCGCCUGGGGAGUACGGCCGCAAGGUUGAAACUUAAAGGAAUUGACGGGG
rnacentral:rRNA from 1 species